rnacentral:tRNA from 1 species
GCGGUGGAUGCAUCAAGGUAGGUACACAGCGUCUCGAGGAUGCUGGUGGCCUGGUCCGCGAGUUCACUCUCGCCGACCGGCC